rnacentral:rRNA from 1 species
GCUGUGAGCUCUUUGCUUGGUUAGUGGCGGACGGGUGAGUAACACGUAGGUAACCUACCCUAUGGAGGGGGACAAC